AGAGUUUGAUCCUGGCUCAGGACGAACGCUGGCGGCGUGCCUAACACAUGCAAGUCGAACGGAACUUCUUUAAAAGAUUUCUUCGGAAUGAAUUUGAUUAAGUUUAGUGGCGGACGGGUGAGUAACGCGUGAGUAACCUGCCUCUAAGAGGGGAAUAACAUUCUGAAAAGAAUGCUAAUACCGCAUAAUAUAUAUUUAUCGCAUGGUAGAUAUAUCAAAGAUUUAUCGCUUAGAGAUGGACUCGCGUCCGAUUAGUUAGUUGGUGAGGUAACGGCUCACCAAGACCGCGAUCGGUAGCCGGACUGAGAGGUUGAACGGCCACAUUGGGACUGAGACACGGCCCAGACUCCUACGGGAGGCAGCAGUGGGGAAUAUUGCACAAUGGGGGAAACCCUGAUGCAGCGACGCCGCGUGAGUGAAGAAGUAUUUCGGUAUGUAAAGCUCUAUCAGCAGGGAAGAUAAUGACGGUACCUGACUAAGAAGCACCGGCUAAAUACGUGCCAGCAGCCGCGGUAAUACGUAUGGUGCAAGCGUUAUCCGGAUUUACUGGGUGUAAAGGGAGCGCAGGCGGUGCGGCAAGUCUGAUGUGAAAGCCCGGGGCUCAACCCCGGUACUGCAUUGGAAACUGUCGUACUAGAGUGUCGGAGGGGUAAGCGGAAUUCCUAGUGUAGCGGUGAAAUGCGUAGAUAUUAGGAGGAACACCAGUGGCGAAGGCGGCUUACUGGACGAUAACUGACGCUGAGGCUCGAAAGCGUGGGGAGCAAACAGGAUUAGAUACCCUGGUAGUCCACGCCGUAAACGAUGAGUGCUAGGUGUUGGAUCCUUUCCGGGAUUCAGUGCCGCAGCUAACGCAUUAAGCACUCCGCCUGGGGAGUACGACCGCAAGGUUGAAACUCAAAGGAAUUGACGGGGGCCCGCAC
rnacentral:rRNA from 1 species